rnacentral:rRNA from 1 species
AAGAAACUAACAAGGAUUCCCCUAGUAACGGCGAGUGAAGCGGGAUGAGCUCAAAUUUAAAAUCUGGCGGCCUCAGGUCGUCCGAGUUGUAGUCUAGAGAAUCGUUUUCCGCGUUGGCCUGUGUACAAGUCCCUUGGAACAGGGCGUCAUAGAGGGUGAGAAUCCCGUCCUUGACACAGAUUACCAAUGCUUUGUGAUGCGAUCUCGAAGAGUCGAGUUGUUUGGGAAUGCAGCUCAAAAUGGGUGGUAAAUUCCAUCUAAAGCUAAAUAUUGGCGAGAGACCGAUAGCGAACAAGUACCGUGAGGGAAAGAUGAAAAGCACUUUGGAAAGAGAGUUAAACAGUACGUGAAAUUGUUAAAAGGGAAACGAUUGAAGUCAGUCAUGCUUUCCGAGACUCAGCCGAUUCUGUCGGUGUACUUCUCGGUUGGCAGGCCAGCAUCAGUUUCGAUCUGUGGAAAAGGUUGGAGGGAACGUGGCAUCUCCGGAUGUGUUAUAGCCCUUCUUCGAAUACAUAGAGCGGGACUGAGGAACGCAGCGCGCCUUUUAUUAGGUUGGCCCUCGGGUACAUACGCGCUUAGGAUGCUGGCAUAAUGGCUUUAAACGACC